rnacentral:lncRNA from 1 species
AGGAACAGCAGCAGCAGCAGCAGAGGCUGAGCUCCAAAUUCAAUCCUGUGCCAGAUAAUCCAUAUUCCUGAAGGAAGCCAGUGAGACAGGACUUCAAUUUUCCUAUAUCUUCUUCUACUUGAUAGUUAGAUACCCCUGGAUAUCUACCAUGUUGUUUAUGAAAUCUAUCAACAGCCUGUAACAGAGGGACAUCUCACCACUCGAAGAAAUGCAGAAUUGCUACAGAGUAAUUUUGAUUCUUUCUCUGAAAUGGAUUCUGGUGCCUGGCCAAUGGACUGCAACAAUUUGGCAACAUGAUGACCCACAGCAGCAGCAUCUUUCUUUGCUUUUUCACGAUCAAAAGAGGGAUUUGGGAAUUCCAGAGGACAUCUGCUAAACGUAGCAACGUACUUUCAGGAAGCUGAGUUGCGACCACAACAGUAAACCUAGAGAAAAAUGAAGGAUCAUUGUCUAGAAGGUUUUCUGGACUCUCUUCCACAAAACUUCCAGAGACG